UUGUGCUAGGCGGGGAGUCAGCGGUGCCCUGUACCCGAAAUCCGCUUAUGCGGGGCUGAAUUCCCACUCCAGGGUUUUGUUCCGAACGGGUGUCGACCAUCCGACCGGCCGCCGCGCAACAGGCGGUCACGAACCUCGUCAGGUCCGGGAGGAAGCAGCGAUAAGUGAUGCAGUCUGUGUCGUGGAUCGAUCCCGGUCAUAUCGAUGGCCUUCCUUUUCAGGAAGAAAUUCAAAAGUGGGUGCACAA
rnacentral:SRP_RNA from 1 species